AACGAACGCUGGCGGCAUGCCUAACACAUGCAAGUCGAACGAGACCUUCGGGUCUAGUGGCGCACGGGUGCGUAACGCGUGGGAACCUGCCCUUAGGUUCGGAAUAACUCCCCGAAAGGGGUGCUAAUACCGGAUAAUGUCUUCGGACCAAAGAUUUAUCGCCUUUGGAUGGGCCCGCGUUGGAUUAGCUAGUUGGUAGGGUAAAAGCCUACCAAGGCGACGAUCCAUAGCUGGUCUGAGAGGAUGAUCAGCCACACUGGGACUGAGACACGGCCCAGACUCCUACGGGAGGCAGCAGUGGGGAAUAUUGGACGAUGGGCGAAAGCCUGAUCCAGCAAUGCGGCGGGAGUGAUGAAGGCCUUAGGGUUGUAAAGCUCUUUUACCCGGGAUGAUAAUGACAGUACCGGGAGAAGAAGCGCCGGCUAACUCC
rnacentral:rRNA from 1 species